rnacentral:rRNA from 1 species
CUGCAGCUCAAGUGGUCAGGAUGAUUAUUGGGCCUAAAGCAUCCGUAGCCGGCGCUGUAAGUUUUCGGUUAAAUCUGUACGCUCAACGUACAGGCUGCCGGGAAUACUGCAGCGCUAGGGAGUGGGAGAGGUAGACGGUACUCGGUAGGAAGGGGUAAAAUCCUUUGAUCUAUUGAUGACCACCUGUGGCGAAGGCGGUCUACCAGAACACGUCCGACGGUGAGGGAUGAAAGCUGGGGGAGCAAACCGGAUUAGAGACCCCAGUAGUCC